CACUGGGAAAGGAUCUUUUCUGGACAUCCCUCCUCUGGAGUUUUACAGUGAGCUCAGGAUGUGGGUGUUCCUGAAUGGGUUACCUUGGAGAGACUGCUGGCACAGCUGGUUUACAUUUCCUUGGAGCUUUGAACCAGCCAUUUAUCUUGCGAUAAACACCGUCACAAAAGAAAAAAAAAAAGACAAAGCAUGAAUUACAUACAGGCAAACAUGAGGUGAGGAAAUGAAGUCAACGCCCAACUUGUUACCCAGCUGCUGACUUAAGAAGACUGUAGUGGAUCUACUGAAAAGAUAGAGGUGUAUGAUAAAAAACAAAUGGCAACUAAAUGCAUAGUAAAGCGAUGAUAUUUGGACAAACAAAACAUUUUACAUUAUAAAAGACUAUUGUGCGUUGGUCUCUGGAUCAUCUCUACCUUAAAUAAAAAGUGUUUGUUGCAAACAUUUGAACUGAGGAGAUCAACAAAUUGAUCUGAUGCAUCUAAGUUGGAACAAUGAGAAACUCUCCAAUAUGACUGAGUUACAAAAAUCCCAGAUAUAAAGGAAUGCAUUACUCAAUCAUGUAAUAGCUGAUGCUCAUUUAACAACAUUGGUAUUGAUAAAUAAAGCUUGUUCAGUGAUAGCAUAAAAUACAAGAGGGACAAUUAAUAGGCUGUUUUGCUUUUCCCUGUAUGGCAAGACAUGCAACUUUUAGAAAGUGCUUUCUAGUAUUUAACGCAAUUUGAAGGUAGGAUAUCAAAUUAAAUUGUGACAUAUAAUGAAGUUCAAUGAAACCUCAUGAACGUUAACAUUGUGUCUUUUGUCAGGGUACAGUCUGUGUUCAUUUAAGAAUUCCUGUGACAAGAUAAGCUUUUGAGCAAUUUCAGGUAUACAAGCUGGAGGAAGCACUGGGUACCAUAAAUGGAGUGAGUACAGCAAAACAUCUUAAUAAAGAUUUUAUUUUCCUAAGACAUUUUAAAGAAUCUUUUUUGAAAAAAAAACUAAAAAGCUAAAAUAUAUAAAAACCUUUAAACCAAAUUAUAACUAUUUUGAAAAGAGUUUGCCCUCCCACCCCAAAGAAAUUUGCCAAAAAGCAAUGACAUGAAUAAGGUGUGGUUGUGAAGUGAAAGGUAUUUUUCUCUUGUAAGAGAUGUCUCUCUACUAGAC